CUCCCUCCCCAUUGCUGAAAUCCAACCAGAGGCCAGAGGGUAGGGGAGCCCCCGUAGGUAGUCUACUGAGAACAGCCUCUGGGGACAGCAGCUGGAGAAGGGUGAACCAUAGAGUGAACCAAGGAGACAGAAGAUCUCCAGCACAGCAAGAGCUCAAGAAAUGAGAUGACUGUGAUGAGUCAUUCAAGUUCAGUUUAGAGCCUUCCAGCCCAUAGCUGGUAAGUUUCUUGAGAACAGGCAUUUUUGUUUUCUCACAAAGCAUUGGUAAAUCUCCAUACAGAUAAUAUGCGCCCAUCAAUGGUUGCUGAACAGUGAUCAGGUUCUGAAAAAAAGCAAAAAAUACUGACUUGUGAGCAAGUUUAACAUUUGAAGUUCAAAGACAAUGGUAUCAUAAAUUUAAAUUGCACAGCAAGGAAUAAAAACAAGACAGGCAUCAAGUCUGGUACAGCUUCAUUUAUUUCUUACUCUUCCUACCGAAUUGAGUUUGCAUCCAGGUACUCCUCAUGCCUCCGUUGGCAGAAUGAUGAUGUAAUGAACGAACAGCAUUUACAGUAAAUGACAGCAAAUUGCUCUGUAAUUCAAGGGCUAACCCAUGUGCCACACAAUGAUCUUUUGAUGUCUGUGAAUUUCUUCAAGGUGGGUGGGGAAGCUUUUUGCUUGUAGGGAAGGCUCUGGAUGGACUGAGCCUCUGACAUAUCAACUGUAAAUCCUGGAGUCCUGGGGCUUUAUUCGGAGGAAGAAAGCACCUUCUACAGGCAGCAGUAGAGUGGACUGUCCCAGAAUCGAGCCCACUGCCCUGAGAAUUGGACUCCACAAUGGCCAGUUGGACAUUGUCCUUGUGCCCGGAGGGGUGACCUACACGUGGGACAGGAAAGGACAUUGUGGCUUCAUCACCAGAAAUGCUCUGCCAGAUCAAGUAAUGAUUGGUUCCACUAAAGGCUUAGUAGAACAGCCCAUCUGUGUGACUGCUGCAAAAGUGGGUGACAAACUCUACACCGGGGCUGUGUACACCCAAAGGCUGUGUGAUGGACACAUAGUUAUUAUUCAGGACAUAAGACAAACUUUUGCCUGGCAUCAGCUUACCAUGUGGCCAAAGCCUGCCUCAGUCCCUGUAUGGGUCUGUCCUGGCUGAGGCAGGUUUGCACCCUGCCUGGGUGCUCAGCACUUCGUGUGAAGGGAAUCAUUCAGGGCAGUCACAAGCCCCUGCACCCGGGAGUCCACCCUGGAAGCCAGGGGCUGGCCCAUGGCUUCACACACACGGCCAGUGGGACUAGGACUAAGUGAGCAGAGCCCAGUUCUUCUCGUUCCCAGUGUGAGCUGAUGUACAGGCACCUCCCUGUAACUGGAUCAAAAGGGGACUGUUUGGCAAAUACAAAUCAAAGCACAGUCUAGGACCCAGCCGAUUAGAGAGAAGGCAUGAAUCAGAGAAGAGAGAAAAUGGGAAGAGGUCAGAGAUAAAGGCAAAGCGUGGUUGAUGAGAACUGCAGAAGUACGUGGGAGGGGUCAGUGUUCUGAUUUAUUGACUACCUUUCAACUCAUUGUUUAGCGUCAUGGGAACAAGGCGUUUAUCAGACAAGAUCAGAAGUUUAAAGGUGGCCAGCUUUAUGGGGUUAAUAACUCCAUGUCCAUGUUCCCUAAGUGAAGUGAAUAGUUCUUUGUGCUGAUAACAUGCUGACGGUUUAACGGUGGUUUAGAAAGAGCACAGACCACAUGUGAAGAAGUAACCACUUACCAGAUGACUGUGAAGACAGAAAUCAACAGAACCUGCAAACACGCUAUUUUCCUGGACCUAAAUAAGUGCCCAUUCAGAUGGUGACUGCUUUUUAAAACCUUUAUUUUUCUCUCUAUAGGCUUAACAUAUGUAAUGUAAGGAGCCGGGAAUCUCUGCAGGUUAAACUGCUGAAAAGAAAGCUCUGAUGAGCUACGGAGGAAUGAGACAGAGUUCUUACACAGGGGUGGAGCGGGGGACGCUUUCUGGCUUCAUCGUGAUUCACUUACUUGCCUUCGUGUGAGUCUCCUCCUUUUCUGAAAUAAAACCCAUCCUAAAGGACAAGGAUUGUUCAGUAAGGAAAUUCAAGAGAUUUUCAUAUAAGCUUGAAAGUAAUCCAGAAAAGGAAUUAUAAAAAUGCUUUGAACAGUAGCUGUAUUAUUUAAGUCCACUUAUUAGGUGGCUGCUUUGAAGAGACAAAUGUUUAUUGGGGUUUUUAAGUUCUUGUGCAUUUGUUUAUAGGAGAGAGAUAAAGGAAUUUCCAUCACGUAUGGGCAUAUCUUGUCUUGACCAGCUAGUCCUCUUUCCUAUGAUGCUUCUUGGACUUGUGCAGAAAGCAUUGCCCCUCCUUACCCCAGGGCCAAGGACCAGCUGACUUCUCACAGGGCUGACUCACAAAACCAUCUACCCGAAGCAUCUCUACUUACCUGACCUGGGCACUGAAGCGCCUUAUCUUGUUUACCUCAGAAUCCUCCAAGGGCAUGGAAAUCACUAGAAAUCAAGACAAGUCAGAUAAAAGGAUUUUGUGCUACUUCCAGGUGUCCAGGAGGUAAAGUUUGGAUGCUGAAAUGUCAAGAUUUACAAGACAUUUCAGUGGCUUAUGAGAACAACAGAACCAUGUACUUGAAGUGGAAAAUAUAACAGAAAAUCUGGAAAGCCACAGCUUUCAUACAGCUGUACAAAUGACUAGAUUAUUGCUCUAACAUCUAUCUGAGGAAAUAGGAGUUUUGCUGAAGGAUAGGGACAACCAAUGUGGACCCUGGCUGUCUUGGGAAAUUGUAACACUUUUGGGGUGGCAACUGGGAAGAGAGAGGAUGAGGACAUGAGAAGGCAGGGUGUUAAAUAGCAACAUAAAACAAGGGAAGGCAGAUUAGAGAGGUAGGCAGCUGUGGCAGACACAGCCAACCAUAUUUCCCUCAUAACAGCUCACAUAUCCCCUCAGGGUACCAAUGUGCUCAGCUUAGAACACACAGCUUCCCUGACUCCCUUGCAGCUAGGGUUGACUGUGUGACCAAGGUCAGCCAAUGAGAUGCGCUUGAGUGACAGACUGAGGCUUCUGAGAAUGCUUUUUGAAGGAGAAGUAGCUGACAUGUGUUACUUGGAUUGUUUCCCUUUGCCCUUCUCCCUUCUCCCUGGGCACAGAGCUGGAAUGCAGAAGUAGGAACCAUCUUAAUGCUACAGGAUAAAUGCCACAUGCUAAGUGUAACAGAAGAGAAAUCUAGAACAAGCCUGGAAACUGAUCACACUGCAGAGCUGCCAUGCAGCCUUGAAUGACUUCCCCCAAAAAAUCUUCUGUUAUAGGAGAACAGUGAACCUCUAUUCAGUUGAGCCAUCAUGCUCAGGCUUCAGUUUCAUAGGGCCAUCUGGACCAAGUCCUAAUUUAUGCUGUACUCCAAUAUAUCAGACCCUGGACAGAAGGCCAAGAGGCCAGAGUUUCAGUCCUGGCUCUGUCCUGGCUGUCCUUAUUUAUGAGUGUGUGACUUAGGCAAACCACCUAGGACCCCAAGCCUCAAAUUGGGGGUAAACUAACUGCCAAAACAACAUCUCACAGACUGUGUUGAAACUAAAAUUAUUUAAAAGUAUUUGAAAAGUAUUAACAUUAUUAGGAAGGUAAAGAAAGGGGUUAAUUCAGUAAGGCCAGGCUUAAGAGAAGACAUUAAGAAAAUGUGGUGUUUGGAAUUCAAAGUCUAGGAAAGGAUGGCCGGGCAUGGUGGCUCACAUCUGUAAUUGCAGCACUUUGGGAGGCCAAGGCAGGUGGAUCACCUGAGGUCAAGAGUUCGAGACCAGCCUGGCCAACAUGAUGAAACCCCAUUUCUACUAAAACUACAAAAAUUAGCCAGUCGUGGUGGCACACGUCUGUAGUUCCAGCUACUCAGUAUGAUGAGGGCACGAGAAUCACUUGAACCUGGGGGGUGGAGAUUGCAAUGGGCCAAGAUUGUACCACUGUACUUCCAGCCUGGGCAACAGAGUGAGACUCUGUCUCAAAAACAAACAAACAAACAAAAACAAGUCUAGGAAAGGAAACUUCAUACAUAGCACACCUGGAGAUGAUAUGACAGUUGAGGCCAGGGAAGGAGCCAACAUUAGCAAUGGAUUCCCACGUAUUUCCAGCGGGCAGGUGGGUCCAGCAGCAGAUGUAGCCAGAGAUCCUGGUACCCAAAGGCCCAGUGGGAUUAGACUGUGCAGCCUAUACAGACCAGAUGAUAGCACAGAGAUCAAACUGCCCCACCACAGAACUUCCUCUCUGCACAGGUUGAAGGGAAAGAGAAAUGUGAAACACUAAGUACUUAGCCCAGUGAGAUUAAGUUCAUCUGGUAGAGAUUGUGUAAGCCCAGUUGGAAAUAGUGGCUCCUGGGACAUUUGAGAUCUAUUAUAGAAAAUAAAGUUAUAUUUCUCUGUGUAUUUAAACGUUGUAAAUUUCAGUGCCUUUGCCCAUAGCUACAGAAAGCUUAAUGUCAGUGGGCACAGGAAGGACAGACAGGGUCGGCCCUGGAACUAGAUACCCCUGCUGAGCUCGGGCAGGUGCUAGGGAUGCCUGAAGAUGAGGGAAAAAAAGCAAGUCAUGCAGGUAAAACACAAUAGCUAGAGACAGGCAACAGGUGGUAGGUAGGCGUAAAGGUGUGUGUGGGAUGGACCAUAACAUGUGAGGAGGUGGAGUGCAGCACAGGGAGGCCCAGCUGAGCUGAGCCCAGCAGAGAUAUUAGCAGACAGCUGUGGGGGAAGCUGGCCAUACCUACAGAACCAGAGCACAGGGGAGGAGAGGCAGAAUAGUGCCGGGGCCACAAAAAGGAAAUAGCAAGAGAACACAGAGUUAUGGUCCAAAGGGGCAAGGGGACAGGGCAAACAAUCAUCGGCACUAGAGCGAGUCCCCAGGAUGUGGCCUCCAGAAGAAGUGACAGCCUGCGUAGAAUCAGACAGCGCAUCCAGAGUGGGGGUUUCGUGAGCAACGCUUCAUGUAUCCUGUCUGAGGAGGGGGCUGGGUCGAGCCCCUG
rnacentral:lncRNA from 10 species